UACGUAGGGCGCAAGCGUUAUCCGGAAUUAUUGGGCGUAAAGAGCUCGUAGGCGGUUUGUCGCGUCUGCUGUGAAAGACCGGGGCUCAACUCCGGUUCUGCAGUGGGUACGGGCAGACUAGAGUGAUGUAGGGGAGACUGGAAUUCCCGGUGUAGCGGUGAAAUGCGUAGAUAUCGGGAGGAAUACCUAUGGCGAAAGCAGGUCUCUGGGCCAUCACUGACGCUGAGCUGCGAAAGCUAGGGGAGCAAACAGG
rnacentral:rRNA from 1 species